GUGGGGAAUUUUGGACAAUGGGCGCAAGCCUGAUCCAGCCAUGCCGCGUGAGUGAAGAAGGCCUUCGGGUUGUAAAGCUCUUUCGGCCGGGAAGAAAUCGGCGACUCUAACAUAGUCGCUGGAUGACGGUACCGGACUAAGAAGCACCGGCUAACUACGUGCCAGCAGCCGCGGUAAUACGUAGGGUGCGAGCGUUAAUCGGAAUUACUGGGCGUAAAGCGUGCGCAGGCGGUUUUGUAAGAAAGAUGUGAAAUCCCCGGGCUUAACCUGGGAACUGCGUUUGUGACUGCAAGGCUAGAGUACGGUAGAGGGGGGUGGAAUUCCUGGUGUAGCAGUGAAAUGCGUAGAUAUCAGGAGGAACACCGAUGGCGAAGGCAGCCCCCUGGGCCUGUACUGACGCUCAUGCACGAAAGCGUGGGGAGCAAACAGGAUUAGAAACCCCAGUAGUCC
rnacentral:rRNA from 1 species